UGGGGAAUAUUGCGCAAUGGAGGAAACUCUGACGCAGCGACGCCGCGUGGGUGAUGAAGGCCUUCGGGUUGUAAAGCCCUGUCGGCUGGGAAAAAGGUAGAUGCACUAAUACUGCAACUGCUUGAUGGUACCAGCAAAGGAAGCACCGGCUAACCCUGUGCCAGCAGCCGCGGUAAUACAGGGGGUGCUAGCGUUGUUCGGAAUUACUGGGCGUAAAGGGCGCGUAGGCGGUUUAGCAAGUCAGAUGUGAAAUCCCGGGGCUUAACUCCGGAAGUGCAUUUGAAACUGCUAGGCUAGAGUGCAGUAGAGGUUAUUGGAAUUCCCAGUGUAGAGGUGAAAUUCGUAGAUAUUGGGAGGAACACCAGUGGCGAAGGCGGAUAACUGGGCUGUAACUGACGCU
rnacentral:rRNA from 1 species